rnacentral:rRNA from 1 species
UACGAAGGGUGCAAACGUUGCUCGGAAUUAUUGGGCGUAAAGCGCACGUAGGCGGCAUUGCAAGUCGGAUGUGAAAUCUUAUGGCUUAACCAUAAAAGUGCAUCCGAAACUGCAGUGCUUGAGUACUUAAGAGGAUCGCGGAAUUCCCGGUGUAGAGGUGAAAUGCGUAGAGAUCGGGAAGAACAUCGGUGGCGAAGGCGCUCUACUGGACCACAACUGACACUCAGGGACGAAAGCUAGGGGAGCGAAUGGG